GGGGGAUGACGGUACCGGAAGAAUAAGCACCGGCUAACUACGUGCCAGCAGCCGCGGUAAUACGUAGGGUGCAAGCGUUAAUCGGAAUUACUGGGCGUAAAGCGUGCGCAGGCGGUUCGCUAAGACAGAUGUGAAAUCCCCGGGCUUAACCUGGGAACUGCAUUUGUGACUGGCGGGCUAGAGUAUGGCAGAGGGGGGUAGAAUUCCACGUGUAGCAGUGAAAUGCGUAGAGAUGUGGAGGAAUACCGAUGGCGAAGGCAGCCCCCUGGGCCAAUACUGACGCUCAUGCACGAAAGCGUGGGGAGCAAACAGGAUUAGAUACCCUGGUAGUCCACGCCCUAAACGAUGUCAACUAGUUGUCGGGUCUUCAUUGACUUGGUAACGUAGCUAACGCGUGAAGUUGACCGCCUGGGGAGUACGGUCGCAAGAUUAAAACUCAAAGGAAUUGACGGGGACCCGCACAAGCGGUGGAUGAUGUGGAUUAAUUCGAUGCAACGCGAAAAACCUUACCUACCCUUGACAUGUAUG
rnacentral:rRNA from 1 species